CCUACGGGUGGCAGCAGUGGGGAAUAUUGGGCAAUGGGCGCAAGCCUGACCCAGCAACGCCGCGUGAAGGAAGAAGGCUUUCGGGUUGUAAACUUCUUUUCUCAGGGACGAAGAAAGUGACGGUACCUGAGGAAUAAGCCACGGCUAACUACGUGCCAGCAGCCGCGGUAAUACGUAGGUGGCAAGCGUUAUCCGGAUUUACUGGGUGUAAAGGGCGUGUAGGCGGGAAAGCAAGUCAGUUGUGAAAACCAUGGGCUCAACCUGUGGACUGCAUCUGAAACUGUUUUUCUUGAGUACAGGAGAGGCAGACGGAAUUCCUAGUGUAGCGGUGAAAUGCGUAGAUAUUAGGAGGAACACCAGUGGCGAAGGCGGUCUGCUGGACAGCAACUGACGCUGAGGCGCGAAAGCGUGGGGAGCAAACAGGAUUAGAUACCCCAGUAGUC
rnacentral:rRNA from 1 species